UGGCGGCUGCCAAACAACAUUGUAAGGGAGCAUUGCGCAACUUUAAACGAGCAUGUUCUCUAAUAGAUCAGCAAUGAAACAACGUUAACCGGGAUGACUUUAAGUGAGGAGUUACUCUACAUAGUCCUAAAGCUUGUAGCCUGGCCAAUAGACAAUAAUUAAUAAUGGUAUUUGGCCCGCUCAACAGAAUGAGUUUGACACCCUUGAUCUAUGGUAUCUCUAUCACCUUGGAAGCAUUAAAAAAAAAAAAAAAAGUGUCCUGCUCUAACAGAAUGGUUAUUCCUCUGUGUAUCCAGGAGCCUGAAAGAGUCUGUGAUCCUUUUCUCCUCUUUCUUUUUUUCCCUUUCUCAAUGUUGUGUUUAAGCACCACAGGCCAGAGGGGCUUGCCUGAAACACUGUCUGAUACUUCCAACCUUCCGUCAAUGGCCUCUCACAAAAUCUGUGCCCCUGAAAAUGGGCUCCCUCCAGCAGCUUUGUUCUCACAGAGCACUUGGAGGGUUGCAGAGGGUCUGGUGGGUGCUCUCUGGGGAAAUAACACCCCCAGUCCAUUCAGAACUGUAAUUUUUGAAGUACCUAAAGGACAACCUACCAAAACUAUUCAGCUGAUCAUUUGUCUGGGGUAAUAAAACUCACUCUACCUUCCCCAGAUUACAGCAGGCUGAUUAAGGCUAUGGACAGCAGCUUGGAACCAAUUUUGCAGAUCCUUAAACAGUACCUCUGGAUCCGUUCCCUCUACAACACAGCCAUAAACUGUGCUGUGCACUUCGCUGCCUUAGUUCUGAUUUCCCUGCUGCUCUUUUGAGGAUUUCUUUGUGGCUGUCAUUUAGAUUGAGGCUUGCUUGGUCAAGCAGGAAUGUGCGCAAACACGUACGUAUAUGAAAAUAUUCUGGUACGUACGGGAAGAUGUAACAGGGUUCCGUUUUUGUUGGAGCUUACCACAUGAAAAAUUCAGAAACUUCAGCUACUUUCAUUAUGAAAACACCCUACUUGUGUGUGACAUCUCACCCUGUUUUUUCUCCUUCCCUCUCGCUCCGCUUUCACUAGUUUUUAUUCAGUAGUCUAAAACCAUUCCUGGCCUACUGGGUCUUUAAACAACCAGGGGAUUUUUCUCUGGGUUGUGCUUACCUGUUGUCCUGCAUAAAAGAGGAAGUAGCUCUUUCUUCUAGGGCUAGGAAUCCAGGGUCUGCAGGAAAGAACCUGAAUCCACCAAUAGAGGUUGGUGGCCAGCAAUGCUGGCUGAACUAUGUUCAAAUAUAUAUCUUGUUUUGUUUAGUAAAUUGUUCAGGAAUGAAUCCUGAUUUCUUCUGAAUAUAUUUUUACAUAUUUGACAAAUGGGUGGACAAACAGUUUUUGGACUAAAAGUUAUUCAUGACCUCUCCAUUUCAGCUAGACACUAUUUGUUGUGUCAUGAGAUUUAAGACACCUACGCAACAUAGUAUUAUUUUUCCUCUCUUUCACUGGAUAAGAACAUAAGAAUGGCCACACUGGGUCAGACCAAAGGUCCAUCUAGCCCAGUAUACUGUUUUCCGACAGUGGCUAGUGCCAGGUGCCUUAGAGGGAAUGAACAGAACAGUCUUGGUCUUCACAACAUCCUCUGGCAAAGAGUUCCACAGGUUGACUGCAUUGUGUGAAGAAACGCUGGAUGACUGAAGCAGGCAAAUCAUGUGCUUCCAGUAUGAAUUUUCAGACUCAUCACACGACUCUGAGCAAGUCACUUGAUGUCUUUGUGACUCAAUUUCUGUCUGUAAAAUGGAGAUGAAAACACUUUCCUGACUCAACUACUAAUUUUCAUUAAAGUUCAUGAAGUUCUUUGA